CAUGUAGGCGGCUUAAUAAGUCGAGCGUGAAAAUGCGGGGCUCAACCCCGUAUGGCGCUGGAAACUGUUAGGCUUGAGUGCAGGAGAGGAAAGGGGAAUUCCCAGUGUAGCGGUGAAAUGCGUAGAUAUUGGGAGGAACACCAGUGGCGAAGGCGGCUUACUGGACGGUAACUGACGUUGAGGCUCGAAAGCGUGGGGAGCAAACA
rnacentral:rRNA from 1 species